AAUGGGAGUGCGAAUACUCGAAAGCCUGUCUCAGUUCGGAUUGGAGGCUGAAACCCGCCUCCAUGAAGUUGGAUUCGCUAGUAAUCGCGCAUCAGCCAUGGCGCGGUGAAUACGUUCCCGGGCCUUGUACACACCGCCCGUCAAGCCAUGGGAGCCGGGGGUGCCUGAAGUUCGUGACCGCAAGGAGCGACCUAGGGCAAAACUGGUGACUGGGGCUAAGUCGUAACAAGGUACC
rnacentral:rRNA from 1 species